AUUACAUUAGUUUAAGCAAAAAUUUCGCUUUGUGAGGGUGAAGAUUCUCAUGAAUGUAAUA
rnacentral:tRNA from 1 species